AACUUAAAGGAAUUGACGGGGACCCGCACAAGCGGUGGAUGAUGUGGAUUAAUUCGAUGCAACGCGAAGAACCUUACCUACCCUUGACAUGUCCGGAACUUGCCAGAGAUGGCUUGGUGCCCGAAAGGGAAUCGGAACACAGGUGCUGCAUGGCUGUCGUCAGCUCGUGUCGUGAGAUGUUGGGUUAAGUCCCGCAACGAGCGCAACCCUUAUCAUUAGUUGCUACGCAAGGGCACUCUAAUGAGACUGCCGGUGACAAACCGGAGGAAGGUGGGGAUGACGUCAAGUCCUCAUGGCCCUUAUAGGUGGGGCUACACACGUCAUACAAUGGCCGGUACAGAGGGUAGCCAACCCGCGAGGGGGAGCCAAUCCCACAAAGCCGGUCGUAGUCCGGAUCGCAGUCUGCAACUCGACUGCGUGAAGUCGGAAUCGCUAGUAAUCGCGGAUCAGCAUGUCGCGGUGAAUACGUUCCCGGGUCUU
rnacentral:rRNA from 1 species